rnacentral:misc_RNA from 1 species
GAUGAAGAACGCAGCGAAAUGCGAUAAGUAGUGUGAAUUGCAGAAUUCAGUGAAUCAUCGAAUCUUUGAACGCACCUUGCGCUCCUUGGUAUUCCGAGGAGCAUGCCUGUUUGAGUGUCAUUAAAUUCUCAACCUCAUCAGUUUUGUUAUGAAGCUGUGUGAGGCUUGGAUGUGGGGGUUUGUGCAGGCUGCCUCAGUGCGGUCUGCUCCCCUGAAAUGUAUUAGCGAGUUCCAACUGGGCUCCGUCUAUUGGUGUGAUAAUUAUCUACGCCGUGGAUUGGGCUUAGACUUGCUUCUAACCGUCCGCAAGGACAAUCUUUUGACAAUUUGACCUCAAAUCAGGUAGGACUACCCGCUGAACUUAAGCAUAUCAAUAAGCGGAGGA